GGAGGAAUAUUGGUCAAUGGGCGAGAGCCUGAACCAGCCAAGUAGCGUGCAGGAUGACGGCUCUAUGGGUUGUAAACUGCUUUUAUAUGGGAAUAAAGUGAGGGACGUGUCCCUUAUUGCAUGUACCAUACGAAUAAGGACCGGCUAAUUCCGUGCCAGCAGCCGCGGUAAUACGGAAGGUCCAGGCGUUAUCCGGAUUUAUUGGGUUUAAAGGGAGCGUAGGCUGUUUGUUAAGCGUGUUGUGAAAUGUAAGAGCUCAACUUUUAGAUUGCAGCGCGAACUGGCAGACUUGAGUGCGCACAACGUAGGCGGAAUUCAUGGUGUGGCGGUGAAAUGCUUGGAUAUCAUGACGAACUCCGAUUGCGAAGGCAGCUUACGGGGGCGCAACUGACGCUAAAGCUCGAAGGUGCGGGUAUCGAACAGG
rnacentral:rRNA from 1 species